UACAGAGGUCUCAAGCGUUGUCCGGAUUUAUUGGGCGUAAAGCGCACGCAGGCGGUCUGUUCAGUUUGGAGUGACAGUUCCUGGCUCAACCGGGAAAGUGCUUCGAAUACUGGCGGACUUGAGGGCUUCAGAGGGACACGGAAUUCCGGGUGGAGUGGUGAAAUGCGUAGAGAUCCGGAGGAACACCAAAGGCGAAGGCAGUGUCCUGGGGAGUACCUGACGCUCAGGUGCGAAAGCCAGGGGAGCGAACGGG
rnacentral:rRNA from 1 species